AAGCGCACAGGAUUGCAUGAUCUAGUGUAGAAAAACUCCGGUGGUAUAAGAUGGACCCGCGUCUGAUUAGCUGGUUGGUGAGGUAACGGCCCACCAAGGCGACGAUCAGUAGCCGACCUGAGAGGGUGACCGGCCACAUUGGGACUGAGACACGGCCCAAACUCCUACGGGAGGCAGCAGGUGGGGAAUAUUGCACAAGUGGGGGAAACCCUGAUGCAGCGACGCCGCGUGAGCGAAGAAGUAUUUCGGUAUGUAAAGCUCUAUCAGCAGGGAAGAAAAAAUGACGGUACCUGACUAAGAAGCCCCGGCUAGCUACGUG
rnacentral:rRNA from 1 species